AACGAACGCUGGCGGCAUGCCUAACACAUGCAAGUCGAACGCUAUUUAUAGAGUGGCGCACGGGUGAGUAACGCGUGGGAACCUGCCUUUUUCUGCGGGAUAACGGUUGGAAACGACCGCUAAUACCGCAUACGCCCUACGGGGGAAAGGUCCGCCGGAGAAAGAGGGGCCCGCGUCUGAUUAGCUAGUUGGUAGGGUAACGGCCUACCAAGGCGACGAUCAGUAGCUGGUCUGAGAGGAUGAUCAGCCACACUGGGACUGAGACACGGCCCAGACUCCUACGGGAGGCAGCAGUGGGGAAUAUUGGACAAUGGGGGCAACCCUGAUCCAGCAAUGCCGCGUGUGUGAUGAAGGCCUUAGGGUUGUAAAGCACUUUCACUGGUGAAGAUGAUGACGGUAACCAGAGAAGAAGCCCCGGCUAACUUCG
rnacentral:rRNA from 1 species